GACGAACGCUGGCGGCGUGCUUAACACAUGCAAGUCGAACGAUGAAGGAGAGCUUGCUCUCCGGAUUAGCGGCGAACGGGUGAGUAACACGUGACUAACCUGCCCCUUUCUCUGGGAUAACGCUCCGAAAGGAGUGCUAAUACCGGAUACGAACUCUGAACACAUGUUCGGAGUUGGAAAGUUUUUCGGAAAGGGAUGGAGUCGCGGCCUAUCAGCUUGUUGGUGAGGUAAUGGCUCACCAAGGCGACGACGGGUAGCCGGCCUGAGAGGGCGACCGGCCACACUGGGACUGAGACACGGCCCAGACUCCUACGGGAGGCAGCAGUGGGGAAUAUUGCACAAUGGGCGAAAGCCUGAUGCAGCGACGCCGCGUGAGGGAUGAAGGUCUUCGGAUUGUAAACCCCUUUCAGUAGGGACGAAGCGAAAGUGACGGUACCUAAAGAAGAAGCACCGGCUAACUACGUGCCAGCAGCCGCGGUAA
rnacentral:rRNA from 1 species